rnacentral:lncRNA from 1 species
GAGGCUGCAAGGGCCAGAGGAGUGCGGCAGGCCACCCAGGCUGUGCCCAGGGUAGGGGAUCUGAGCGCUGCCACCGUCUCCCCCCCACCCCAGUGGGGGAUGUUCUCACCCUGUCCCGACGGGAACUAGAGUUGGGUUAACCAAGCUCUGGAAAAUAUACCAAAAUAACUCGAGCCACCCGGUUCUUCUUUUUCGUUGUGUUCUCGGCGUGGACACCAGGCCUUCCCGUGACCGGCUUGUGGUCGGCAGUCUCAGGGUUUCCCUUCUCAGUCACGCUUCCUACCCCGGCCCGAUAAGCUCUGCCCACGCCGCCGUCACCCUGAACGAUUAGUCAGAGACGAGGGCGGACUGGGGACCCUGCACUCUCCGCAGACAGGGACGCUGGGUGCUGGGGACAUGUGGGUGGGGCCGAGAGCCAGCACCCCCCCCCUCCAACCUGCUUCCUGUCCUCCCUCCACCCCCACCUCUAAACCUCAAGCUAUUCAUUACACUUCUUUUCAGAACCACCCAAGACAGCCCGGCUCCAUCUGGAACACGUGUGUAUGUGUGUGUAUGUGUGUUCAAGGGGGAGGAGAAGCCUACAGUGAUUUCUGCUUCCAGAGCCCCACAUGGAGGUUGCUAAUCUGCUGGCUGCACGUCUGCCACUAUGAAGUGCUCUUACAACAGGAAGUGGUUUUCCAAAGAUGUUCCUUCCUGACAGAAUGGGGGUGGGGUGGGGGGAGGCCGUCUUCGAGAGGCAGGCGGCCCCAAAGGGCUGCCCGACUCGGGUCUUCCAGCCUGUCCCCUGGAAGAACCACGUUGCCAUAAAGGCCCCCACCCGGGCAAUGUUCCCGCGCGUCUUGCCCAGGCUUUCUUCCUGGGGCUGGCAGAUGGCCAGGCCUCCGCCUCAUGGCGUCUUUUGUCAACUGGUCCCCAGAACUAUACAAAGUUAAAAGAUGGCUUUUCCCCUCCUUUCAAGCACCAGGAAUUGAACCUUCUGGGGGUUUCCAUGAGGCCAGAGGUUUUCAGAAUCCGGGGUUUCCUAAGCCAAGCUCUGCAACACGUGUGGGGCUCCAGGUGGGCUCUGGAGAGAAGGGCGGUUUUCUAGAGAGACCCUGAGCAGCCCCCUGGCUUCUCCUUGCAAAUCACAUCUCUGCAGCUCUGUUUCAGAGGCAUUUAUUGUUUUGUUUCCUCUGUUGGGUGAGGUACUAUGAGGCUCUGAUGCAUAGAGAGACAGCCCCCAUGUCUGCUGCCUGCACGGUGAGAGCACAGGAAGUCAGAGAGCCUAGAACCCUCAGGGGACACUUCCAGGACCCAGCAGGUGCCUGCUGUUUGUAAGACAAAGCGCUCACCCUGAGAGCGUUCCUGCACCAGCCACUGCUGGGAUUCGGUGCAGCCUAACUGCAGGUGUGGACGCCUUUGCCAACCUCGCUGAUGAGGGCAGACGCCUUCCGGCCCGACUGCACCUAGGCCUUGGGGCAGGUGGCUGAGGGUUCUAUCUUACUAACACUCAUAGCUUGUUCCCCGAAAACGACCCCCAGUCCUGGUGCCUGGUAGCACCACCUGGGGGAUUAAUGUCUUUUGUAAGCGUGGAACUGAGCAGAAAUGCCAGGCUUUGGACCAAGUGGUCCUUUGUCUCCCUGGUUAAGCCACGCUAGCUCUCCUGGCCUCCUUGUCUUCAUCUGGGACGUGGCCCUAACUGGAGGAGGGUACUUGGCUAGGCACCCAAGGGAUUAAGGAAAUGGGCCCCUAGUUAUAAACCACCUAGUGAGUAUCUGGAGCAUAGUAGGGGCUUGGUAACUGGCUGGGAUAUGUGUUCAUCGUCUAACUAAAUUUUUUAAUUGCAGCAAAAUAGACAUACAUUUUACCAUAACCAUUUUUUAGGGUUCUCAUGUUUACCAGUUCAACCAUUUUAAAGGGAGCAGGUCAGUGGCGUUAAACACGUUCACCGCGUUAAACAGCUAUCACCAUUACGUAGUUCCAGAACCUUUUCAUCAUGCCAAACAGUAACCCCUUACUCACAAGGCAGCCACCCCCCCAUUUCCCCCUCCCCCAGCCAACCACUCCUCGCUGUCUCUAGGGAGUUGCCUGUUCUGAAUAUUUCAUAUGAAUAGACUCCUGUAACAGGUGGCCUUUCAUGUCUGACCUCUUUCACUGAGGAUAAUGCUUUCAAGGUUCAUCCCGUUGUAGAACGUGUUGGUACUUCCUUCCUUUUUAUGGCUGAGUGAUGUUCCCAAGAGUCCUUUGGAGAAGUCACAGGGUGGUCAGGAAUGCUACCUAAUGUCACUCACUCUGGGCCAGGAUUCCGUCUUUAUUUCUGAAUGGAUAGUAAGGCAGCUUUGUGACAGGAGAUGCGACUACAGAUGCAUGGAAGGCGAGGGGAGGGGGCCAGGCUGACCCCAAGCCCCACCCCCACCCCCCAGGGCUCUUACAGCAGCAGCGUCUCCUGCUGGACUGGGCUGGCGAGGGGAGCCGGCUCAGGCCCGGAAGGGCCAUGCUCGCAGAUAACAGACAAGCUCUCCGUGUCUCCCCAGAUGCAGGAAAAGGCAAAGGAGAUAUACAUGACCUUUCUGUCCAGCAAGGCCUCAUCACAAGUCAAUGUUGAGGGCCAGUCCCGGCUCAAUGAGAAGAUUCUGGAGGAACCACACCCACUGAUGUUCCAAAAACUCCAGGACCAGGUAAUCUGACUUCCCUACUUAGACCUUGAUUUGAAAACUGACAUCCCCCCCCCGACCCCACCCCAAGUCUGGAAGAAUUCAGUUAAGACUAAACGUUAGACACCCGUCUCUUCCAGAUGGACAGGCUGAGGCCCGUGGAGGGUCUGUGGUUGGUGACAGACAGAUACUGACUUGCCAGGCCCAGGAACUGGCCCGGAGGAGCCUCCCUCAGGCCUCUUUCUGUCUACACACAGUUUGACCCAGCAGGGUUAUCUGGCUUCUCAGCCAGCUUAGAAGGGAGGCUGGAGUUAGUUGAGGAACCCACAGAGGAAGCAACACGUGAUAUAACUGAAGGUAGGAGCAGCCAGAGAAAUCUAGCAAACAAGCACACAGACUCGAAGUGGCAGGGAACCUAAGGUUGCUGUGCUAAUGCCCAAAUAUUGCCACCUGCUUCUGAUGGCUCAGGAGCCCACUUUGCCAACAUAAAUGCACUUAAAGCAGGAAAAGUUAGAUUUCAAGAAAGGACCUAUAAGGGGUAAACUUUAGUUUUCUGGCAAAUUUUCAUAGGAGGAAUGCCAGAAGUAAGAUAGGCAAAAGGGAUGAAAUUGUACUGCAGAGGUUUUUGUUUUUGACAUGAAUUUGCAAAUGUGACUAUUCAUAGCAUACUCUGUUCUUAGGAAAUGGUAUGUACACACUUGCAGAGCAUGGAACACUGGCAGAUUUCAACCUUCUGCCAGCCCUGUUCUUACUGGGGAAGCCAAGGCCUUAUUUGGCACACAGGUGGAGACUAGCUCUUAGCUUAAUUCAGCCCUCCUCCAACAUGAACAAGCCCAGAGCCACCUGGAGGGUUUUGUUUUGUUUUUUGCACUUUUUAGGGCUGCACUCGUGGCAUAUGGAGAUUCCCACGCUAGGGGUCGAAAUGGAGCUACAGCCACCACCUACACCACAGCCCCAGCCACGCAGGAUCCAAGCUGUGUCUGUGACCUACACCACAGCUCAUGACAACACCAGAUCCUUAACCCACGGAGCGAGGCCAGGGAUCGAACCCACAUCCUCAUGGAUCCUAGUUGGGUUCGUGAACUGCAGAGCCAUGAAGGGAACUCCUGGAGGGCUUGUUAAAACAGAGGCUGGACUCCAGCCCCAGAGUUAAUCAGCAGGCUUGAUGGUUCCCAGGUGGGUCGAGAUGUUGUCUUCCCAACAAGUUCCCAGGUGACUCUUAUGCUGCAGGUCCCAGGACUACACAUUAAGAAACCACUGGCCCAUUGCAUCGUUUGGCGUUUUUUGAUCACCUGGAGUGGGCACUGAGCCCAGGACAUAUCCCAACAUCCAGCAGGCCUCACUUGCUCAGCAACAGAUAGAAAACAAGACAGGUAGCAAAUACAAGUAUGAGAAGUAGCUGGGGACUGUUUUCCAAUUGAUACGGUGGCAAGCGCAAAUUCCGCAUGAAUUCUGAAUCAAGUUUGGGGGUUGAAUGGACGCCAGUUAACAUGGAAAACUUGCUGAGGGCUUCCUGGAGGUGGUGAUUUUGAGCCAGCGAGAGGGGUGCUGUGGACAUGGAUUUGUGGAGGGGAAGGGAAGUGGGAGGAAUGAUUCAAGGCAGUUCCUGGGCUGUAACCGCACGGGGAUCCACCCUACCUGGACCUCUGAUUUGCUCCCCGGCUUCUUAGGGCACUUUGACAUGCAGCCAGGGCUGAGAACUGCACUGACACUCCUGUGUUCUAGGUAUUCUCAGUAAGAGCAGUAUCUACCUUUCAGAGGUGCCCUUCUGUGCCCGGCCCCCUUGGCAUCUGUACUAUCACAUUUACACUCCAGUGAGCAGUGGCAUUCCCAUUUUGAUGGGGAGGAAAGCUGGGGUCAAGGGCACAAGUGGUUUGUUAGCACAAAGUCCCGCUGGUAUAGGAAGUGCUGGUGGCUGUCAUGCCUGCUUUCAAAGACUACACUGUGUCCCCCACAGCCUGAGCAGCUGCCCUGGGCUCCAAGACAGCCCCACACUGCUCCUCAAAGCCCCCUGAGAUCUGCUGGAGCAGGGGGAUUGGAAAGCCAUGGUUGUAUAUGGUUCUUUUCUGGGACUGCAGAAGCCACCUGGGGUGGCGAGGAGUGGGACGGGCUCCUGCCAUUCCAUGUGCAAGACCACGGGCUCCGGAGGACCUGGCUCUCCUGCCGUUAAGGCUUGUGACACGUCUCAAAAUCCAAAGGCCUGGCUGUCCUGCCGUUAGGCCAGCUGGGUCUCUGUGACCUGGGCACCCUCACUGGAUUGAGACGUGGAAGGUUUAGUGUUAUAUAAAAAGGAGGAAAUAAGGGACAGAGGAUGUUUCCUUAAAGUGACAAAAAUAUUUUAAAAAUAAUUUUUAUUAAAAAAGACUUGUUGGGGUUCCUUGGUGGCCUAGCGGUUAAAGGAGCUGGUGCUGUCACUACUGUGGUGGAGGUUGAUACCAGGCCCCAGAAACUUCUGCACGCUCUGGGUACGGCCCCAAAAAAACAGACCCCAAAACUUAUCUACUUAACUGGAAAAAUCAUACAGGCUUGGCAAAAGAAACUUGGGAAACCAAAAUGUAAAGAUGAAAACAAUUUCAUUCCAUUCCUGUUGAUGUCUAGGCUUUCCAUCUUUUUUCUACGAAUAUGCAUGUGCACACACAUCUAACACGUGUGGCACAAGAGUUCCUUCAAACUACUCUCUGUAAAAAAAAAAAAA